CCCCUAUACCUCUAACCAAUGUACUAAAGUAAACGCAUAACAAUACGCACAUUAAAAUUCAGUUCAAGAGAAAUCCGAGUCUGAUGUCAGAAGAUGUAACCAAAGAAAAAAAACAAAAUGACAAUAAUACAUAAAUAACAACAGACUACUAGCAGUUAACUGACAUGCCAGCUCCAGACUUCAACUAAACUGACUGAAAGAUUAUGAUUUCAUCAUAUGAACAUCAGGCAC
rnacentral:lncRNA from 1 species